rnacentral:tRNA from 1 species
GGGGCUGUAGCUCAGGGGUAGAGCGCCUGCUUUGCAUGCAUGAGGUCAUGGGUUCGAGACCCAUCAGCUCCA